rnacentral:misc_RNA from 1 species
UCCGGUUUAACACCGGCAGUCUCCGUAGAGUGCCCAACUAAAUGGUGGCAACUACGGACAAGGGUUGCGCUCGUUGCGGGACUUAACCCAACAUCUCACGACACGAGCUGACGACAACCAUGCACCACCUGUGCAGGGCCCCGAAGGACACCGUAUCUCUACGGCUUUUCCCUGCAUGUCAAGCCCAGGUAAGGUUCUUCGCGUUGCCUCGAAUUAAGCAACAUGCUCCGCCGCUUGUGCGGGCCCCCGUCAAUUCCUUUGAGUUUUAGCCUUGCGGCCGUACUCCCCAGGCGGGGCACUUAAUGCGUUAGCUACGGCACGGAGUCCGUCGAUAGGACCCCACACCUAGUGCCCAACGUUUACGGCGUGGACUAC